CUGGGGCCUGCGGCAGGGAGGGGAGCCGGCGCGUGGGAUGCAGGGCCAGGGGAGCACGGAGCCUCAGCCCCGGCCUUCCCGACCCAACCCUUCUCUGUGACGGGCCCCAACCUAACCAAACCCCUCCUGGCAGUGGGGUGAGGGCACACGAGCAGUUCAGGGUCCCAGCAGGAAGUGGGGCUGCAGGGCCGGGGUGGGUCCUGGGCCUGGCCAUCAGGCAGCCUAGCAGGUUGUUCUGGGCAUGGAGGGGGCCUGGUGUGGCUGAGGGCAUGCCCAGGGCUCCCUGGAGGAUCCCGCUCUGUGCCCUGCCCACCCUGUGCCUGGGGAGCCCUCUGCCCUCACAGCCCACCCACCCCAUUUUCUAUGACCACAGAGCUCCGACCUGGAAGAUGGCUCACCCAGGAGGUCCCAGGAGCUCUCACUCCCCCAGGACCUGGAGGACACCCAGCUCUCAGACAAAGGCUGCCUUGCCGGCGGGGGGAGCCCGAAACAGCCCUUUGCAGCUCUGCACCAGGAGCAGGUUUUGCGGAACCCCCAUGACGCAGGCCUGAGCAGCGGGGAGCCGCCCGAGAAGGAGCGGCGGCGCCUCAAAGAGAGUUUUGAGAACUACCGCAGGAAGCGCGCCCUCAGGAAGAUGCAGAAAGGAUGGCGGCAGGGGGAGGAGGACCGGGAGAACACCACGGGCAGCGACAACACCGACACUGAGGGCUCCUAGCCGCAGCAGCGCAGGCCCCGACCAGGGCACACCCACCGGCCCGGCCUCCUGCCACCCGGGGGUGCCGACGCCCUGGGGCGCAGACUUCCCCGAGCCGUCGCUGACUUGGCCUGGAACGAGGAAUCUGGUGCCCUGAAAGGCCCAGCCGGACUGCCGGGCAUUGGGGCCGUUUGUUAAGCGGCACUCAUUUUGCGGAGGCCAUGCGGGUGCUCACCACCCCCAUGCACACGCCAUCUGUGUAACUUCAGGAUCUGUUCUGUUUCACCAUGUAACACACAAUACAUGCAUGCAUUGUAUUAGUGUUAGAAAACACAGCUGCGUAAAUAAACAGCACGGGUGACCCGCA
rnacentral:lncRNA from 1 species